rnacentral:lncRNA from 1 species
ACAAAUCUCCCCCUACUACUUUAUAUUUUCCUCUAUUGUCUUUCUCCAGCGUUUCUUUUGGUAAAGACCAUCUUCCGAUUCUUCUCCACCGACCCAUUCAACUCCUUUACCAUGACUCAUAUCCUUCAAAAUUCAUGAUUUUUUUAAUCUAUUUUUUACAUAUUUAUGCAUAAUUUUAGAUUGGGUUUGAGUUCUUUUAUUGGUUUGAUUGGUAAAUUUGUUAGUAUUUGCUAAAGUUUGGUGAUUUUUGUGUGUUUUUGACUUUUGGGUAUUUGAGAUUUAUGGUUAUUGUUGUUUGUAUGGUGUUUUCUUUUGAAAUUUUAUGGUAAAAAUUGUAUCUUUUUUGUGUUUAGUCUUGUGGGUAUUUGAGAUUUAUGGUUAUUGUUGUUUGUAUGGUGUUUUUUUUUUGAAAUUUUAUGAUAAAAAAUUGUAUCUUUUCUGUGUUUAGUUUUAAGGGUAUUUGAGAUUUAUGCUUAUUGUUGUUUGUAUGGUUCUCUCUUUUUGAAAAUUUAUGAUAAAAAUUGCAUCUUUUUUUUGUGUUUAGUCUUGUUGGUAUUUGAGAUUUAUGCUUACUGUUGUUUGUAUGGUGUUCUCUUUUGAAAUUUUAUGUCAAGAAUUGUACCUUUUUGUGUUUAGACUUGUGGGAUAUCUGAAAUUGGUUGAGAUUUAUGCUUAUUGUUGUCUGUAUGGUGGAUUUUAUAGAAUCUAUGGCAAAAAUUGUAUCUUUUUUCUGUUUAGUUUUGUAAGUAUUUGAUAUUGGUCGAGAUUUAUGCUUAUUGUUGUUUGUAUGGUGUUUCUUUUUGAAAUUUUUGUGAGUUCUAUAAAUAAAAAAUGUAUUUUUUUUGUGUGUUUAGUUUUGUGGUAGUUUAGAUUGAAUGAGAUGUUAUGUUUUCUUGAUAGCAUGAUCUAGUUGGUGUUUGGAAACUAAUCAGAUUUAUGUUUGUUUUUGUGGUUUCUGGUGCUUGGUAGCAUGUGUUUUGUGAUUGAUCAUAUACUAGUUUUCUGUUAAAGAUUGUACCUUUGUGUUUAGUUUUGUUGGUAGUUCAAAUUAGAUGAGAUCUUUAUCUCCUUUUGUGUAUCAUGAUGUCAGUCUUGGUAACUUUGUUGUGUAAACUUUGUGGGUACAUGAAAUUUAAGCAGAUCUACUUUUAGUUUUAUGGGUUUUUUUUUUGUUUGGAUUUGUAUAUAUUUGUGUUACCUUGACUGAAUCAGACGCGGAAAUCAGAGGGAAAAGGAUCGGGAAAGAGCUGCAGCUCGUGCUGGUAAAAGCAAGAAGGGAGCUGAUGAUGGUUUGACUCCUGAGCAGCGCCGUGAAAGGGAUGCGAAAGCUCUGCAAGAGAAGGCUGCAAAGAAAGCAGCAAAAGAGGCCGCCGGAGGUAGCAAUGCUGGAACUAAGGAUACCAAGAAAUAGAAAGCUAGGUGUUGUGUACUUCAUUGCAGUCAGUAAUUUGUCAUUCCCCUUUGUUUGUCAUGUUAUUCACUGUUUAAAUGUUGUGAUGCACUACAACUUAAUACGUCUGAAUUGUCAAUCCAUUCGGUUUUGAACUAUCUCGUCUUUCUUUUGAUAUGAUAAACUCCACCCCCAAAUCACCUGUGUUUCAGUUGUUGCAAUACUUAUGUCAAUUGUGCUGAUAUAAAGUUGUAAUGCACCUAGUGCGUAGAAUUUUAUGCAAUGGCAAAGGCAGGGUAAAUGUGAUAUCGAUGUCAUUAGUGAAGCGUCUUCUGUUAUUUGUAAGUUUGUUUGUUGUGUUAUUCCUUUUAUGCCCAGACCUCACUUGUGGGAUUACACUUGGUAUGUUGUUGUUUAUUGUGUUAUUCCUCAACUCUGGCUUGAAGUUAAAAAGAGAAGGUAUAAUUCAACAGUUUUUGUAUUAGAUUUUUGUCCCUAGUAUGAGUUUCAUAGAAUGCAGAAGGUUCCCUUCCAAGUUCUAUGGUUUUCUUGGAAGACAGAACAAUGGACUUAUUGGUGUGUUCAAAACUGAUACACUCUAUUCUCUAGACGUAAAUUAUGGUCUAAGCUGCGAGAUCCCAUAGCUUUCAGAUUAUUUGUGGAUGAUUUUAGUAUGAAUUAGAAAAGCUUGGUUCUGUACCUUCCAACAUCCAGGGCUUCAAAGUAAAAUAGGUGCUUCGAGUUAGUUCUAGUCUCCUACCUCUCAAGGUAGGGAUAAGGUUUGCGUACACGCUACUCUCUUCGGACUCCACUCGUGAGAUUACACUAGGUAUGUUGUUGGUUCGAGACAGUUCAAGACUAGGUAAAAGUUAUGUUAUGCUUGCUUGAUUCCCUCUGAAGUUCUCAGUCACACCAUAUUGGUGGUCAUCCAUAGAAAAAUACUGUAUAAUUGCUGCCCUGUAACCUUAGAUUCCUCGUUACCGCUUGUUAGAGGUAUCAAGUGUAUUGCAUAAUGGUCGAUGAAGUGAGUGAAAACCGCAAGAAGACCAGGGUUCAAAUUUCCAGCAAAGAUGCUAGAUAGUUCCUUUGUGUUUGCCUUAUAGUCUCGGUGGACAGAGUUGCCUGAUACCUUGCAAUUCAUUGUUGACAUUUCCAGUUUACGUAUAUUUGAACUGCCUAUGCUCGUGAUCUUUUCCUGUGGCGGAAAUUGCUCUUAGUGUUGCGAUUUCUUUGGGUUCUUCAGCUUUACGAGUUCUUAGUUUUCGACUUUUGUAUCAUCAGCCAUGAAAAUCUGCAAGUAUUUUUUAGAUUUUUGUUGCAAACUCCAUACUGAUUUAGUAAAAUUGUUGUUUGGUUGUUUGUAAAGAGUGACUUGGUAUUGUUUCUGACCUUAAAAAAACACCAUUCAUGUUUCAAUUUUUUGUUGUUCAAACAUGAAAUAAUUACUGUAAAGUUCGUUUCAGUUCAUUUCGUUUAGUAAGUAAAACAGUAUUUCUUUUAUUAAUAUUUGAUAAUAAUUUAACUAUGAAGUUCUUAUUUUACCUUUAGUGAGAUAAUUUACAACCACAAAAAUUUCAUUGGCUUGCUUAUAAAUCGAAAUAUCGAAAGUUUAUUUCUCCUUUAAACUUUGUAUCAAGUCACAUUUCAUAUAAAUUUGUGACAAAGGUGUCCUUUCAUUUUUAUAUCAAUGACAUACUUUUAUUGGUAUGACGAAAAUAAGAUGAUUCUUUUGAUAUCACAAUUUUUGUAUUGGUACGAAAAUAAGAUGAUUCGUUUGAUCACUAGGCUAUAUCUUUAGAUAUAUUUUGCAUUCUAUGUCUGAUCAAAUUUUGCCACAUACCGAAACGUUGGAAUGGUAAAAGUGUCCCAUUUAAUACGUCAAAAUUUCAUAUGAGAUGAUAAUACAAUUCUAAUAGUAUUUUCCAUUAACUUUUACAUUUUAUAAUAAGAAAAAAAAAAUAGAAAACUACAAGUCACAUCCAUACCAUGUUAAAUGCUUUAGUGGUCAUGUUACAACCAAAUAGAUUACAUUUACAUGUGAUGUUACAAAUUAAGUUGACCAAAAGCAUAUAUCACAAUACCUUAUAAUAUUAGGAAGUUCAAUCAAGGAAGAUGAAGAGGUGCCUCUAAAGUUGGAGCAAAAGUGUGGUUUGUGUUUUCGUGUAAUUUAUACAUCACAAUUUUGAAUCGUGAAAGCAAUCAUCAGUAUUUGUAUUAAGACAAGCAGAUAAAUAAGUCGCAGUAUAUUGCUAUUCAAGAAACUUGUGGAUACAUAGCUCACGGACGUAUGCGAGAGGGGAAUGAUGUAUCCGAGAGGGGAUAAAAAUGUAUCUGAGAGAGGAUAUAGAUGUAUCUGAGUGGUGAUUUUUGUAAUUUUUUCAAAUGGUAGAAAAUUUCAUAGAUUAUGAUAAAAUAAUAUGUGUAUUUAGAUAUUUUUUUCCUUAAUAUUUUCCCAUCUUAUUUUCAAAAAAAGACUUUUCUAAAAAUAUUUUUUUGAAAAAAAUGUAUUUAAAAAAAGGCAAUGUUCAAAGAAGACAUAAUAAGAGACAAAUGAGUCAUUGUUGGAUCUUCUUUUAAUUAAAAUAAUUUAGUAGUCAAUUUUCAUGAUGCAAUUUUGCAUAAAUAUUCUAAUUUGUGGCCAAAAAAAUAAGUUAUAAUUGACAUGUGAAUAUAUGUAUAUCUAAUUCCAACUUGUGUAUUACAAAAUUGUGGAAAAUAAUAUUCGUUUAUUAUCCUAAACAUAUUCAAAUCAUCUUUGGAAGAAACCAAAAAAUAAAAUAAAAUAGUUUGUAUCUAUAUAUGUACUAACUGCUAAAAAU